rnacentral:rRNA from 1 species
AUUGAACGCUGGCGGCAGGCCUAACACAUGCAAGUCGAGCGAGCGGCGGACGGGUGAGUAAUGUCUGGGAAACUGCCUGAUGGAUGGGGAUAACUACUGGAAACGGUAGCUAAUACCGCAUACCAUCAGAUGUGCCCAGAUGGGAUUAGCUCGUAGGUGGGGUAACGGCUCACCUCGGCGAUGAUCCCUAGCGGGUCUGAGAGGAUGACCAGCCACACUGGAACUGCGACACGGUCCAUACUCCGACGGGAGGCAGCAGUGGGGAAUAUUGCACAAUGGGCGCAAGCCUGAUGCAGCCAUGCCGCGUGUGUGAAGAAGGCCUUCGGGUUGUAAAGCACUUUCAGCGGGGAGGCGUUACCCGCAGAAGAAGCACCGGCUAACUACGUGCCAGCAGCCGCGGUAAUAC